ACAAACACUUGACACCUUGAACAAGCCCAAUCCCGUCUGAUCUCGGAAGCUAAGCAGGGUUGGGUCAGGUUAGUACUUGGAUGGGAGACCACCUAGGAAGACCAGGUGCUGUAGGUG
rnacentral:rRNA from 1 species